UACGUAGGGUCCGAGCGUUGUCCGGAUUUAUUGGGCGUAAAGAGCUCGUAGGCGGCUUGCUAAGUCAGGUGUGAAACCUCCAGGCUCAACCUGGAGCCGCCACCUGAUACUGGUAUGGCUAGAGUCCGGUAGGGGACCACGGAAUUCCUGGUGUAGCGGUGAAAUGCGCAGAUAUCAGGAAGAACACCCGUGGCGAAGGCGGCUCUCUGGGACGGUACUGACGCUGAGACGCGAAAGCGUGGGGAGCGAACAGG
rnacentral:rRNA from 1 species